CAAAUAGUAUUUCCACGUAUAUUAUGUAAAUAAUUUAAUUUUUAAAAAUUAUAUUGCAUCAAUUCACGUUAAUAGUUUAAUGCCGAACGUCUUUUUUGAUAUAUGAUGUAAUAACUUGAAGAAUUUAAUAAAUUAAAUUGAAUUAGGUUGAAUAUGCGGCCUUUAGUGGAAAGAGAGCGAAAAUGUGAUUUUAAAUCCAAAUGUUUUAUUAAAAGAAUCAUAAUAUUAAUGAAAAUAAAGAAAGAUAGCGGACGAAGUUUUCUAUUGCUCAUGAAAGUUAAAAAUACGAAGCAUUCGAGGCAAAAGUGGAAAUCUCGAUUACAAACGGCUAUCUCAAAACUAAUUAGAAAAAUGAACGUUAAUUAUAUGGAAGUUGUAAACUGCUUCUCAAGUUAGGUCUAUUUGUUUGAUUAAAUCCGUGUAAUGACUUAUUUCCUAUUCUGGCGAAAAUUAACCUGGAGGUUGAAAUUACCUCUAAUUCUCGACAAAAGAACUUCCUGAUGGAGAAAACUGCUAAAAGCUUAUUCCGACGUUUCUUACAACAACUUCAAAUUUUCAUUUCGUAUCACACCGCUUACGAACGAGAUGAAGACAUUUUUUAUUUUCUUUCCUGCAUUUCCAUUAAAAUUUAUCAAAUCCGUUAAUUAAAUUCGAAAACAGAAAUCGUUUUACGAGAUAAAAAUUUCCUACACUGGGCUAAUUAAAAUCAAUUUUAAAACUUGUUUCUAAAACAAUUUUUCCCCCCUCUUUAUUUUUCCCGACUGUGCGCUGUUAAAAACAAGAUGUCAUUCUGUUGCAGGAAAUUCAAUCGGAAUGGGGAAAUAUCCAAUACUUCCAAUAAUGUCAUUUCCGAUGAAAGAGGCUUAUCGAUUCAAUGAUUCGGAAGCUUUCUACCAGAAUCGCAUCUUCCAAUUCCCAUGUUGUUAUUUUACGCUUUUGGGCCUUUAAAGACGUUCAUUCAGGCCUUAGACAGCGCGGUUUGUAUGCGUUCGUUGUUAAACGAAAGAUUGUGCAAGCCAACCCAAUAUCCGACUGGUAUGGCAGUUAAAACGAAGCCUGUAUGUAUCUUCCGAAAACGAAUUUUAUUAACUUCUUACUCAAUUAAUGCUUAUAAAGAAAGGUUGCUGCGGGGUGCCAUACGAGUGCCAUCUCUAUCUGCAAGACGGUCGGCGGGGAGUCAGCGCCACAUCUCCGGUUGGAUCAGCUGGAAGGACUCAGUUGAUGACAGGUCUCGUCUCAACCUCCGACCAACUGCCGUCGUUGGCCGCAGGAUCCCAGACAGGUGACGGCAAACCAAGCCGAAUUCACAUCUACUCUACCGCUGUUGACGCAUUGCUUCCGUUUUGAAACCUUUGUUAAUCAGUUAUUAUUAAAAGUCUACUAUUUCCAUUUUAUUGUCUCUUCGUCAUUAGCCUAUAAUGAUCUUGCCAAACUUAUGUGAUACGCCUGAAUAAAUACUUAAAAGUUGCAUGCCACAGUUAAAAUAAUUAUUCACAGACUCCAAUUGAAAAUUUUACUAUACUCUUUCUUAUCUAAAAUGCUUUCAAAUGUCCAUAAUUUUAUAAAUUCUCUUGUCUAUCGCCAGUAAAUAUCACAAAAAGCACGAUAUGUAGAUUUAAAUCUUCAAUAUAAAUCUAUAUUUACUUAAAAAAUGCAGAAUAUUGUCUUUUUAAAUAUAAAAUAAUAUACAUAAACAACUCUAAACGAC
rnacentral:lncRNA from 1 species